UACGUAGGGGGCAAGCGUUGUCCGGAAUCAUUGGGCGUAAAGCGCGUGUAGGCGGUCCGGUCAGUCGGUUGUGAAAGUCAAGGGCUCAACCCUUGAAUGCCGGCCGAUACUGCCGGGCUAGAGUCCGGAAGAGGUGAGUGGAAUUCCUGGUGUAGCGGUGAAAUGCGCAGAUAUCAGGAGGAGCACCGAUGGCGAAGGCAGCUCGCUGGGACGGUACUGACGCUGAGACGCGAAAGCGUGGGGAGCAAACAGG
rnacentral:rRNA from 1 species